rnacentral:rRNA from 1 species
UGGGGAAUAUUGUACAAUGGAGGAAACUCUGAUACAGCAACGCCGCGUGAGUGAUGAAGGUUUUAGGAUUGUAAAGCUCUGUCUUUGGGGACGAAGAAAUGACGGUACCCAAGGAGGAAGCCCCGGCUAACUACGUGCCAGCAGCCGCGGUAAUACGUAGGGGGCAAGCGUUGUCCGGAAUUACUGGGCGUAAAGGGCACGCAGGCGGCUCGGUCAGUCAGAUGUGAAAGUUUGCAGCUUAACUGUAAAAGUGCAUUUGAUACUGCCGGGCUUGAGUCUCGGAGAGGUAAGCGGAAUUCCUAGUGUAGUAGUGAAAUGCGUAGAGAUUAGGAAGAACACCGGCGGCGAAGACGGCUUACUG